UGGGGAAUAUUGCACAAUGGGCGAAAGCCUGAUGCAGCAACGCCGCGUGAGGGACGACGGCCUUCGGGUUGUAAACCUCUUUUAGCAAGGAAGAAGCGAAAGUGACGGUACUUGCAGAAAAAGCGCCGGCUAACUACGUGCCAGCAGCCGCGGUAAUACGUAGGGCGCAAGCGUUAUCCGGAAUUAUUGGGCGUAAAGAGCUCGUAGGCGGUUUGUCGCGUCUGCUGUGAAAACCCGAGGCUCAACCUCGGGCCUGCAGUGGGUACGGGCAGACUAGAGUGCGGUAGGGGAGAUUGGAACUCCUGGUGUAGCGGUGGAAUGCGCAGAUAUCAGGAAGAACACCGAUGGCGAAGGCAGAUCUCUGGGCCGUAACUGACGCUGAGGAGCGAAAGGGUGGGGAGCAAACAGGCUUAGAUACCCUGGUAGUCCACCCCGUAAACGUUGGGAACUAGUUGUGGGGUCCAUUCCACGGAUUCCGUGACGCAGCUAACGCGUUAAGUUCCCCGCCUGGGGAGUACGGCCGCAAGGCUAAAACUCAAAUGAAUUGACGGGGUCAUAGCUGUUUCCU
rnacentral:rRNA from 1 species